CCAAUAGCGUAUAUUAAAGUUGUUGCAGUUAAAAAGCUCGUAGUUGAAUUUCGGGGUCAGUAGGUUGGUCGUGCCACCGGUACGUACUGGUCUCACUGAUUCCUCCUUCCUGAUGAACCGUAAUGCCAUUAAGUUGGUGUUGCGGGGAAUUUGGACUGUUACUGUGAAAAAAUUAGAGUGGUUAAAGCAAGCUAACGCUUGAAUACAUUAGCAUGGAAUAAUGAAAUAGGACGUUCGAUCCUAUUUUGUUGGUUUCUAGGAUUGACGUAAUGAUUAAUAGGGAUAGUUGGGGGCAUUAUUAUUCAAUUGUCAGAGGUGAAAUUCUUGGAUUUAUUGAAGACUAACUACUGCGAAAGCAUUUGCCAAGGAUGUUUUCAUUAAUCAAGAACGAAAGUUAGGGGAUCGAAGACGAUCAGAUACCGUCUUAGUCUUAACCAUAAACUAUGCCGACUAGGGAUCGGAUGAUGUUAAUUUUUUAAUGACUCAUUCGGCGCCUUACG
rnacentral:rRNA from 1 species